GACAGAGGUGCCAAGCGUUAGGCGGAAUCACUGGGCUUAAAGCGUGUGUAGGCGGAGUUCUAAGUACCUUGUGAAAUCCCACGGCUUAACCGUGGAACUGCUUGGUAUACUGGUUCUCUUGGGCCAUCUAGGGGCUACCGGAACAAACGGUGGAGCGGUGAAAUGCGUAGAUAUCGUUUGGAACGCCAAUGGUGAAAACAGGUAGCUGGCGAUGUGCCGACGCUGAGACACGAAAGCCAGGGGAGCGAACGGG
rnacentral:rRNA from 1 species